rnacentral:rRNA from 1 species
AACGAACGCUGGCGGCAGGCUUAACACAUGCAAGUCGAGCGCCCCGCAAGGGGAGCGGCAGACGGGUGAGUAACGCGUGGGAAUCUACCCAUCUCUACGGAAUAACGCAUGGAAACGUGCGCUAAUACCGUAUACGUCCUUCGGGAGAAAGAUUUAUCGGAGAUGGAUGUGCCCGCGUUGGAUUAGCUAGUUGGUGGGGUAAAGGCCUACCAAGGCGACGAUCCAUAGCUGGUCUGAGAGGAGGAUCAGCCACACUGGGACUGAGACACGGCCCAGACUCCUACGGGAGGCAGCAGUGGGGAAUAUUGGACAAUGGGCGCAAGCCUGAUCCAGCCAUGCCGCGUGAGUGAUGAAGGCCCUAGGGUUGUAAAGCUCUUUCACCGGUGAAGAUAAUGACGGUAACCGGAGAAGAAGCCCCGGCUAACUUCGUGCCAGCCGCCGCAGUAACAC